GACGUAGGGCGCGAGCGUUGUCCGGAUUUAUUGGGCGUAAAGAGCUCGUAGGCGGCUUGUCGCGUCGUUCGUGAAAACCCACAGCUCAACUGUGGGCUUGCGGUCGAUACGGGCAGGCUGGAGUUCGGUAGGGGAGACUGGAAUUCCUGGUGUAGCGGUGGAAUGCGCAGAUAUCAGGAGGAACACCGGUGGCGAAGGCGGGUCUCUGGGCAGUAACUGACGCUGGGGAGCGAAAGCGUGGGGAGCGAACAGG
rnacentral:rRNA from 1 species